rnacentral:rRNA from 1 species
GGGCCCGCACAAGCGGUGGAGUAUGUGGUUUAAUUCGAUGCAACGCGAAGAACCUUACCAGGGUUUGACAUCCUGCGAAUCUCUUGGAAACGAGAGAGUGCCUUCGGGAACGCAGUGACAGGUGGUGCAUGGCUGUCGUCAGCUCGUGUCGUGAGAUGUUGGGUUAAGUCCCGCAACGAGCGCAACCCACGUCUUUAGUUGCCAGCAUUUAGUUGGGCACUCUAGAGAGACUGCCGGUGAUAAACCGGAGGAAGGUGUGGAUGACGUCAAGUCAUCAUGCCCCUUACAUCCUGGGCUACACACGUACUACAAUGCUACGGACAAAGGGCAGCAAACUCGCGAGAGCUAGCA